rnacentral:rRNA from 1 species
AUGGCCAGCUUCGCCGCCCAGCUCCUGGACGUGUUUUACGACCUCGUCGAGCGCGUCACCGGCUACAGCGCCCGCGCCCAAGACGACAAGGAUCUACAGAAGCAUAGCAAGUUGGCAACUACGGAGGCUUUCCGGACGGGGGAAGUUGUCGAGAUCAGGUCCAGGAAUCUCCCGGUUGUAUCAGGGGGGUCAGAGGGCCAGGUCAAUUAA